rnacentral:rRNA from 1 species
UACGGAGGGGGCGAGCGUUAUUCGGAAUUAUUGGGCGUAAAGGGCGCGUAGGCGGCUGUACAAGUCAAAGGUGAAAUCCCUCGGCUCAACUGAGGAACUGCCUUUGAAACUGUACGGCUUGAGGCCGGGAGGGGGUAGCGGAAUUCCCAGUGUAGCGGUGAAAUGCGUAGAUACUGGGAGGAACACCAGUGGCGAAGGCGCUACCUGGACCGGUUCUGACGCUGAGGCGCGAAAAGCGUGGGUAGCAAACAGG